rnacentral:rRNA from 1 species
GAUGAACGCUAGCGGGAGGCUUAACACAUGCAAGUCGAGGGGCAUCACGAGGUAGCAAUACUUUGGUGGCGACCGGCGCACGGGUGAGUAACGCGUAUGCAACCUUCCUUUUACAGGAGGAUAGCUUUCGGAAACGGAAAUUAAUACUCCAUACAGAUACUGUAAGGCAUCUUACAAUAUUAAAAGCUCCGGCGGUAAAAGAUGGGCAUGCGUAACAUUAGUUAGUUGGUGAGGUAAAGGCUCACCAAGGCGACGAUGUUUAGGGGUCCUGAGAGGGUUCACCCCCACACUGGUACUGAGACACGGACCAGACUCCUACGGGAGGCAGCAGUGAGGAAUAUUGGUCAAUGGGCGCAAGCCUGAACCAGCCAUCCCGCGUGCAGGAAGACAGCCUUAUGGGUUGUAAACUGCUUUUCUGAGGGAAGAAUAAUUCUGAUUAG